rnacentral:lncRNA from 10 species
CCGUGAUCUCUGGGCACCUCCAGUCCCAGCACCUGGUCAUGUUCUGGGGGCUGGGCCUAGAAAGUUGUCCUUGGGUGGAGUCUCCCACCAUUGCUACUGUCUUCCCAGGCUCUCCAUCCCAACUGGUGUGAGCAGGUCAAGUUCAUCCCCCAGAUGAAUGUGGUAGUCUCCUGUUCAGCCAUCGAGAAGUCCUCUCUGGUGCUGACAAUAUUGCCAGCCAAAGCCUCUAAGAAACCCAGAAGGAAAACCCCCUAUGGCAGAAGCCUCGUGUCUGUGCCCCUGGUAAUCCUGGCAGGAGUAGGAGCCAGGAAAUCUUUGUUGAUCAAUACGUGAAAUCGGCCUGAAAUAAUUUCUACUAACAUUUUGGUGACCAUUCUUCCAGAACAUUUUUCGGCAGCACAUAUACGUGUGGAGGGAGGAAUAUCUGGUUUGGCAAUAAAUGAAAUAUGUGUACUGC